rnacentral:rRNA from 1 species
AGAGUUUGAUCCUGGCUCAGAUUGAACGCUGGCGGCAGGCCUAACACAUGCAAGUCGAGCGGUAACACAGAGGAGCUUGCUCCUUGGGUGACGAGCGGCGGACGGGUGAGUAAUGCCUGGGGAUCUGCCCGAUAGAGGGGGAUAACUACGGGAAACUGUAGCUAAUACCGCAUAAUGUCUACGGACCAAAGUGGGGGCUCUUCGGACCUCAUGCUAUCGGAUGAACCCAGGUGGGAUUAGCUAGUUGGUGAGGUAAUGGCUCACCAAGGCGACGAUCUCUAACUGGUUUGAGAGAAUGACCAGUCACACUGGAACUGAGACACGGUCCAGACUCCUACGGGAGGCAGCAGUGGGGAAUAUUGCACAAUGGGCGCAAGCCUGAUGCAGCCAUGCCGCGUGUGUGAAGAAGGCCUUCGGGUUGUAAAGCACUUUCAGCGGGGAGGAAGGGCCACUAGUUAAUACCUAGUGGCAUUGACGUUACUCGCAGAAGAAGCACCGGCUAACUCCGUGCCAGCAGCCGCGGUAAUACGGAGGGUGCAAGCGUUAAUCGGAAUUACUGGGCGUAAAGCGCACGCAGGCGGUUUGUUAAGUCAGAUGUGAAAUCCCCGAGCUCAACUUGGGAACUGCAUUUGAAACUGGCAAACUAGAGUCUUGUAGAGGGGGGUAGAAUUCCAAGUGUAGCGGUGAAAUGCGUAGAGAUUAGGAAGAACACCAGUGGCGAAGGCGACUCUCUGGACUGUAACUGACGCUGAGGCUCGAAAGCGUGGGGAGCAAACAGGAUUAGAUACCCUGGUAGUCCACGCCGUAAACGAUGAAAUACUAGGUGUUGGAGGGUUUCCGCCCUUCAGUGCCGCAGCUAACGCAUUAAGCACUCCGCCUGGGGAGUACGACCGCAAGGUUGAAACUCAAAGGAAUUGACGGGGGCCCGCACAAGCGGUGGAGCAUGUGGUUUAAUUCGAAGCAACGCGAAGAACCUUACCAGGUCUUGACAUCCUUUGACCACUCUAGAGAUAGAGCUUUCCCUUCGGGGACAAAGUGACAGGUGGUGCAUGGUUGUCGUCAGCUCGUGUCGUGAGAUGUUGGGUUAAGUCCCGCAACGAGCGCAACCCUUAUUACUAGUUGCCAGCAUUUAGUUGGGCACUCUAGUGAGACUGCCGGUGACAAACCGGAGGAAGGUGGGGACGACGUCAAAUCAUCAUGCCCCUUAUGACCUGGGCUACACACGUGCUACAAUGGAUGGUACAACGAGUCGCCAACCCGCGAGGGUGCGCUAAUCUCUUAAAACCAUUCUCAGUUCGGAUUGCAGGCUGCAACUCGCCUGCAUGAAGUCGGAAUCGCUAGUAAUCGCGGAUCAGCACGCCGCGGUGAAUACGUUCCCGGGCCUUGCACUCACCGCCCGUCA